ACGGCUGUGCACUCGGGCGAGCUUGAGAUCGAGCGCUAGAGGAGAGGGAGAGAGCUCCAGAGCAACGGGAAAAUGAGAGGGGGUGCAGGGCAUCUCCCAGACGAGCGGAUGGGGACGAGGACGUGGGGGACAGCGCUAAGCAGGAGGUGGCAGCAGGGUGAGCCCGCGCAACACGCCUCUGCCUACAGGCAGAUGUUCAAGAAGACCUGGCCGUGGGCUGGCUUGGCUUCAGGUGAUUGCUCACAACAUUGGCCUAGGGUGACAAGACGUUAGGUUAUUGCUCCCUACAUUACAGUCUUUGGCCAAAGGGAAUCCACGACUUGCUCUAAGGUUUGUGAUGUUGCAGCGCCGGUACACGGAGAUCAACAGGAAGGUGGCCAUCGCCAGGACCCGCUUGAGCCUCAUGCAGGAGGACAUGUACGUACUAACAUAAACAAGAUGACAGAUAAGUUCUCUGCUCUUCAGCUCAAAGUGACGGAGGUGAAUGCGUUGUUCACCAUGAAGCAGAAUCACUCCUCCAAAGGUUAACUAAUUAAUUUACAUUGUCUUCUUUUUGUAGUUUAUUCAUGCCAAGUUCAACGGCCCUCUGAACUUAUCUACGAAAGCAGUUUCUGAACUCUAAGCUUGUGUGACUAUUGCUGAAGUGAUCUAUUGUGGUAACUCCUUUUGAAUCUCCCA